rnacentral:rRNA from 1 species
GACGAAGGACCCAAGCGUUAUCCGGAUUCACUGGGUUUAAAGGGUGCGUAGGCGGCCUGAUAAGUCAGUGGUGAAAGCCCGCAGCUUAACUGCGGAACUGCCAUUGAAACUGUCUGGCUUGAGUAUAAUUGAAGUGGGUGGAAUACAUCAUGUAGCGGUGAAAUGCUUAGAUAUGACGUAGAACUCCAAUUGCGAAGGCAGCUCACUAAAUUGUCACUGACGCUGAGGCACGAAAGCGUGGGGAGCAAACAGG